rnacentral:rRNA from 1 species
AUUGAACGCUGGCGGCAGGCCUAACACAUGCAAGUCGAGCGGUAGCACAGAGAGCUUGCUCUCGGGUGACGAGCGGCGGACGGGUGAGUAAUGUCUGGGAAACUGCCUGAUGGAGGGGGAUAACUACUGGAAACGGUAGCUAAUACCGCAUAACGUCGCAAGACCAAAGUGGGGGACCUUCGGGCCUCAUGCCAUCAGAUGUGCCCAGAUGGGAUUAGCUGGUAGGUGGGGUAACGGCUCACCUAGGCGACGAUCCCUAGCUGGUCUGAGAGGAUGACAAGCCACACUGGAACUGAGACACGGUCCAGACUCCUACGGGAGGCAGCAGUGGGGAAUAUUGCACAAUGGGCGCAAGCCUGAUGCAGCCAUGCCGCGUGUGUGAAGAAGGCCUUCGGGUUGUAAAGCACUUUCAGCGGGGAGGAAGGCAUUAAGGUUAAUAACCUUAGUGAUUGACGUUACCCGCAGAAGAAGCACCGGCUAACUCCGUGCCAGCCGCCGCAGUAACAC